rnacentral:rRNA from 1 species
CCUACGGGAGGCAGCAGUGAGGAAUAUUGGUCAAUGGGCGUAAGCCUGAACCAGCCAAGUCGCGUGAGGGAUGAAGGUUCUAUGGAUCGUAAACCUCUUUUAUAAGGGAAUAAAGUGUGGGACGUGUCCUAUUUUGUAUGUACCUUAUGAAUAAGGCUCGGCUAACUCCGUGCCAGCAUCCGCGGUAAUACGGAGGAUCCGAGCGUUAUCCGGAUUUAUUGGGUUUAAGGGGUGCGUAGGCGGCCUUUUAAGUUAGCGGUGAAAGUCUGUGGCGCAACCAUAGAAUUGCCGUUGAAACUGGGGGGCUUGAGUAUGUUUGAGGCAGGAGGAAUGCGUGGUGUAGCGGUGAAAUGCUUAGAUAUCACGCAGAACCCCGAUUGCGAAGGCAGCCUGCCAAGCCAUGACUGACGCUGAUGCACGAAAGCGUGGGGAUCAAACAGGAUUAGAUACCCUAGUAGUC